rnacentral:rRNA from 1 species
CUGGAUAGAAUAACUAGCAUAAAAGCAUCUGAUCCUGUCUGACCUUGGAAGCUAAGCAAGGUCAGCACUGGUUAGUAUUUGGGAGAGAAAUUGCAAAUGAAUACUAGUUGCUGCUCAGU